rnacentral:misc_RNA from 1 species
GAAAUGCGAUAAGUAAUGUGAAUUGCAGAAUUCAGUGAAUCAUCGAAUCUUUGAACGCACAUUGCGCCCCGUGGUAUUCCGCGGGGCAUGCCUGUUCGAGCGUCAUUUCAACCCCUCAAGCUUCGGCUUGGUCUUGGAGCCUGCGGUCUCGCAGCCCCUAAACUCAGUGGCGGUGCUAUUGAGCUCUGAGCGUAGUAAAUCUCCUCGCUAUAGAGCCUCGGUAGUUGCUUGCCAACAACCCCCAAUUUUUAUCAGGUUGACCUCGGAUCAGGUAGGGAUACCCGCUGAACUUAA